CCUACGGGAGGCAGCAGUGGGGAAUUUUGGACAAUGGGCGCAAGCCUGAUCCAGCAAUGCCGCGUGCAGGAUGAAGGCCUUCGGGUUGUAAACUGCUUUUGUACGGAACGAAACGGUGAGCUCUAAUAAAGCUUGCUAAUGACGGUACCGUAAGAAUAAGCACCGGCUAACUACGUGCCAGCAGCCGCGGUAAUACGUAGGGUGCGAGCGUUAAUCGGAAUUACUGGGCGUAAAGCGUGCGCAGGCGGUUAUAUAAGACAGAUGUGAAAUCCCCGGGCUCAACCUGGGACCUGCAUUUGUGACUGUAUAGCUAGAGUACGGUAGAGGGGGAUGGAAUUCCGCGUGUAGCAGUGAAAUGCGUAGAUAUGCGGAGGAACACCGAUGGCGAAGGCAAUCCCCUGGACCUGUACUGACGCUCAUGCACGAAAGCGUGGGGAGCAAACAGGAUUAGAUACCCCAGUAGUC
rnacentral:rRNA from 1 species